UGCGUAGGCGGUUUGUUUAGUCGGAUGUGAAAGCCCCGGGCUUAACCUGGGAACUGCAUUUGAAACUGGCAGACUAGAGUAUGGUAGAGGGGGGUAGAAUUCAUAGUGUAGCGGUGAAAUGCGUAGAUAUUAUGAGGAAUACCAGUGGCGAAGGCGGCCCCCUGGACCAAUACUGACGCUGAGGUACGAAAGCGUGGGUAGCGAACAGGAUUAGAUACCCUGGUAGUCC
rnacentral:rRNA from 1 species